rnacentral:rRNA from 1 species
GACGAACGCUGGCGGCGUGCCUAAUACAUGCAAGUAGAACGCUGAAGAGAGGAGCUUGCUCUUCUUGGCUGAGUUGCGAACGGGUGAGUAACGCGUAGGUAACCUGCCUUGUAGCGGGGGAUAACUAUUGGAAACGAUAGCUAAUACCGCAUAACAAUGGAUGACACAUGUCAUUUAUUUGGAAGGGGCAAUUGCUCCACUACAAGAUGGACCUGCGUUGUAUUAGCUAGUAGGUGAGGUAAUGGCUCACCUAGGCGACGAUACAUAGCCGACCUGAGAGGGGGAUCGGCCACACUGGGACUGAGACACGGCCCAGACUCCUACGGGAGGCAGCAGUAGGGAAUCUUCGGCAAUGGGGGCAACCCUGACCGAGCAACGCCGCGUGAGUGAAGAAGGUUGUCGGAUCGUAAAGCUCUGUUGUAAGUCAAGAACGGGUGUGAGAGUGGAAAGUUCACACUGUGACGGUAGCUUACCAGAAAGGGACGGCUAACUACGUG